ACUGAACUCUUCUCCUGGUCAUGAGAACCCAGGUCCUCUUCCUCCUCCUUUACUCAGGAGUUCUACACAUAGGUAUUCCAUGUGCAGCACAGAGUGAACUCUGUGCUUCCAGUAAUGGGCUCCCACUACUGAACUGCACCGCUCCUCCUGACCCCACAGCUGAUUUCCUGAUGUGUGUGGGAGUCCCAGAAGGCUCUGGGGCAGGAGAUCUGCAUGUUCUGAAGGGUCUGAUGGAGGCAGUGCUGGAUGUUUACACCUUCAUGCACUCAGUGAGCGGUGUUCCGGUGCUGGAGAUGAUCGGUGCGGUCCAGCUGAGCUGGACGUCUCUACUGCAGAACCAGGACUUUCUCCACUUCUGGUUGGAGUUCAGACUGACCCCUCUGCUCUCGACCGUCUCUCAGCAGUUCCUCACCUGCCUCAGCAACAGCGACUUCGACUGCAACACCUAUCACACUGUUGUGCAGAAGCUGAGUCAGCAUUAUUCUGGCAUGGAUCCUGAGAGGCAGAAGUGGAUUUAUAUGUUCUUCAUGUACCCCUUCCUCUCCAGGAACUCCUCCGCAGGUUGCGUGGACCCAAAUGGCACCACUGAGGACUGGCUGAUAAAAAAUUUUGGCUCGUUCUCAGUUCUGGGCCAGAUUAAAGACUUUGCUACCAUCAAUGGAUACUUCAGCGGGCUGGAGGUUCUACAUCUCUUAACACCUCAGCAGCAGGCGGAUCUCUUACUCAACCCUGAACUGGGUGGUGUGAACAACAUUUCGCUCAGCAUGGUGAUGGACAGCCUUCUGAACUCUGUACUGCCACCUGGUGGGGGAGUGAACCUUACAUCCAACGGUAGCAUGUGGACAACAGAUAUAUAUCUGCCCUCUCCACAAGACCCGGUCACUCAGGUGAUGAACGGCUUCAUGACAGCAUUUGCCCCAGUCAGGAGUUUCGUCAGAGAGUUUGUCUCUCUCUCACAUCAGCCGGACCUGAGCAGUGCCAUGUUUGUACAGGGGAUGCUGGACUGGACUCUAGCAGAACUGGCUGCUCCAUAUAAACAAAACAGCAGCACCGCCCAGACAGACCUAUUCGACCCGACGAACGUUAACGCCUGGUUUACUCAUGUGGUCACUCCUGUACUGCAGAGGUUUCUCCCUGGAGACAUUCCCAAUGACAUCAUAUCUGUGUUCCACGCAUUAUUCUACAUUAACACUGGAGCAAAUGAAACCACUGGACCCCCAGAUCUUUGCAGCAUUACUCUGGAAGCGCCUGAGUGUGCUCUAAAUAACCUGAUGCAGGACGUGGUGAAGGUUCUGCAGUGUGCAGACACUACUAACCUCACACUGACCCCCAAAACAUUAGAGACCAUCACUCUCCGCCUGACCACCAGCCUCAACCUGCUUCUGAACCAGCUUGCCAACACCAACUUUAGUGCUCCAGACUCGCCCUUCAGCGAUAUCCUGGACCGCUACAAGAACCCGUCACCAAGCAACCUGCAGGACGAGCUGUUCAUCAGCACCUGGUUCCAGAACAGACUGAAGCCUCGCCUAUCCCACCUGGACCAGAACUAUCUGACCUGCCUCAGUGCAAAACCCUUCAGCUGCCAAACCUACCAGAUACUUGUGAAGGGAAUGAGUGAUAACAUGUUCCUGAUAGGAGAACAUGAACAGCUGGUUUACACAUUCUUCAUCACUUCCUUCCUGCAACAGCAGAAUUCCACAGCCCCCUGCAUGAAUCACAGCAGCUCUCAGUGGAUCCUGAGGAACCUGGGUGGGUUCUCGCACCUGGUGUCAGUGCCGGAGCUGUACCUGCUGAACAAGGAGUUCAAUGCGCUGGAUGCUCUAGAUGUCCUGACCCCACGACAGAUAGCAGAGCUGGUGGUGGAGGACCUACCUGUACUUCCAGAGAAGAAGCAGGUGAUUGAUGCCGUGUUCGAUUUCGCCUUGGUUGCCCCCAUCGAGAGAAACCUGACCGAGAUCCUUCACAACAUCAUCAUCCUCACAGAACAGAUGGGAAUAAACUGUUCAUCCUAUCAGCAAAUAUUGAAUAGGCUGUACGCUGCUACUGUUCCUCCGGAGAUACAGAAGAUUGUACACGAUGCCAUCAACACACUCAGCCUGAACUCACCUUCAGGUACACACACACGAACUAAAACAAUGCAAACACAAUCUUUGCAAUAAUUUAGAGUGUUAAUAGUAGUAGU
ensembl:lncRNA